UACGUAGGGUGCGAGCGUUGUCCGGAAUUACUGGGCGUAAAGAGCUCGUAGGUGGUUUGUCGCGUUGUUCGUGAAAACUCACAACUCAAUUGUGGGCGUGCGGGCGAUACGGGCAGACUGGAGUACUGCAGGGGAGACUGGAAUUUCUGGUGUAGCGGUGAAAUGCGCAGAUAUCAGGAGGAACACCGGUGGCGAAGGCGGGUCUCUGGGCCGAUACUGACGCUGAGGAGCGAAAGCGUGGGGAGCGAACAGG
rnacentral:rRNA from 1 species